GACUCACACGCAAAUGUCUUUGACGUCUCAUCAUGAAAGAUAAUCGCCACUGCAUGUUUCUUUGUCUCUCGAGGCAAUCUAGUUAUGUUUUUGAUAUUGUGCAGCUCGGUUACCUUGUGGAAGUUUCUGAAAUAUGCUGCCUUCUCAUCUGGAAACUUUUCUAGCCUCCUGGGUCCUUUACUGGAAGCCUUCUUGAAAACCAACCAACAUCGCCUGAAAAUCCCCAGCUUCCUGCUGCGAAUUUUCACGUAGCCCUGUUUGACUAUAUCGUUAAAGUUGGAGGCCAUGGCCAGCGCUGUCUGCUUCCUCCCCUCCGCGCCCGGAGUCCUCCUCCACCUCCUCCUCUGCUGCCUCUUCCUCCUUCCCCGGGCCCUCCUGGGUGCCGCCGGCCGCCGGCUCCCGAGACGCCUCUGGCAUCCAGGCAGCGGCGGGGCCGCGCUCCGCUCUGCUCCGCCCCGCGCUCCUCCCGCGGGUUCCGCUCCGCGCCGACCCCAGUGGCAGAAGGUCCUCGACUCUUCCACCGGCCCCU
rnacentral:lncRNA from 1 species